GCUGGCGGCAUGCUUAACACACGCAAGUCGACGGUNCNGCGGGGGAAACCCUGGUGACGAGUGGCGGACGGGUGAGUAAUGCUUAGGAAUCUGCCCAGUAGUGGGGGACAACCCGGGGAAACCCGGGCUAAUACCGCAUACGCCCCAUGGGGGAAAGCGGAGGACCUUCGGGCUUCGCGCUAUUGGGUGAGCCUAAGUCGGAUUAGCUAGUUGGUAGGGUAAUGGCCUACCAAGGCGACGAUCCGUAGCUGGUCUGAAAGGACGAUCAGCCACACUGGGACUGAGACACGGCCCAGACUCCUACGGGAGGCAGCAGUGGGGAAUAUUGGACAAUGGGCGAAAGCCUGAUCCAGCAAUGCCGCGUGUGUGAAGAAGGCCUGCGGGUUGUAAAGCACUUUCAGUGGGGAAGAAAAGUGCAGCGCUAACAUCGCUGCAUCUUGACGUUACUCACAGAAGAAGCACCGGCUAACUCCGUGCCAGCAGCCGCGGUAAUACGGAGGGUGCGAGCGUUAAUCGGAAUUACUGGGCGUAAAGCGCACGUAGGCGGUCAGGCAAGUCGGGUGUGAAAGCCCUGGGCUCAACCUGGGAAUUGCAUUC
rnacentral:rRNA from 1 species